UAGCAUGUAAUAACGUUAAGUAAUUAGCAAACUUUUGACGGGACACGCAACUAGCUUGAAAGCAGAAAGACCUCCACAUCCUGCCCAUCAACCUCUGUCUGUCUUAAAGCAGAGGAUGUUGAGCGCCUGACACCCGUGGGCUCAGGGAAGAGAACCAGAGUCUCGGUGAAUAAGUGCCAUGUCUGUAGGAAAGAGUUUAAAACCACCAGUGCACUUAAAACACACUUCUUGAUCCACAGACAGGACGGGCCUCAAAUCUGUGGUGUCUGUCAGAAAGCAUUUAAACACCAUCAUCAGCUCACUUCCCACAUGAUGACCCACUACAAGAGGAAGACCUAUUACUGUACUCAGUCUGGCUGCCACAAAAUCUACAAUGACAAAAACUCCUUAAAACAUCACUGUGCCUCUCGACACGGAGUCUACCGUACGUCUCCUUCCUCCUCCAGCUAUGACCUGCCGGCCUCAGUGUGGGAGCCAACGGCUGUGUCCGACUAUCUCUUUAC